rnacentral:lncRNA from 1 species
AUCUAAGAAAAGAAAGGAAAAAGAUGAAUUCAAAAGAGUAAGCUUAGCUGGGCCCAUUUCAGUUACUACAAAAUGAUGUAUACACAUCAUUGAGAGUGAUCUUGCUACAUUCAGAAUCUCCAUAGUCCCUUUCAUGUUUAACACGUCUAGCUUCUCACAAUUUAGCUCGAUCACCUGGAAUGCUAUUCCAUCACACACUUUCAACACUGGUUCUGUUUGGUCAUACGAAUGUUAAUCAAAGCCCACCAAGUCAAACAGUUGUAGGCCAGACUACCCAAAGUAAAUAGUUAAUAAAAGAUAUAUUACAUAAAUGAGGAAAGAAACUAAGUUUCUAUACUUUAAAAUUAAACAUUUUUA